rnacentral:tmRNA from 1 species
GGGGAUGCCAGGCUUCGAUAGAUCGUUCACAAACUGAAAAUGCAAACUGAGGUGGGUGUCACUCAUAAAAUACGCCCAAACGAUAAGUGCAAACUUAUUGACAAAGGUCAAAGAUCAAGCUAAGGCAUUUGCCGGUAGCCUGACUCUUUCACCUGUCGCGGUUGCCUAAAUUCAACCGCUAUCCAGCCUCGCCCGCUUAGGGGUGGGAAUCUGGGUAUUAUAUUUCUAAGCUAGCUAAUCGGUACCGCUGGGGCCAAUUAGCGAAAUUUAACCAGCUUUAGCUGUUGUAAGUUUUUGCUUGUUUUCUACUUGCACAGCCAAGAAACCAAACAGGCUAAGUUUGUAGAUAUUUUUAGUUUGUCUUUCUAGACGCGGGUUCGAUUCCCGCCAUCUCCACCA